AUGGACAAGCUAUUGGCUUUUGUUCCUCCCAAGGUGACUGACCAAAUGAAUGUGGAACUUGACAACCCGUUUACAGCCGAGGUGGUUAGGAUAGUGCUAUUUCAGAUGGCACCGUCCAAGGCACCAGUAGUGGACGGCUUUACGGCAGGAUUGUUUCAGCGGCAUUGGUCCUUGCUCAAAGAUGAUAUAAUCCCGGCUGUCCUGGGUUUUUUGAAUAGGGGUAGACUACCUGAGGGGUUGAAUGACACAUCAAUCACCUUGAUUCCAAAGGUCUGGUACCCACAGCGCAUCGCUCAAUAUCGUCCCAUAUCAUUAUGUUCUGUUCUGUACAAGAUUGCUUCUAAGUGCAUUACCAACAGAGCAAGAUGUUUCAUGGGUGAGAUCAUAAGUGCAGAACAGAGUGCAUUUGUGCCCGGACGCCUCAUCACCGAUAACGUUUUGAUUGCUUAUGGAAGUGUUCAUGCAAUGAGACAUCGAAGGAAAGGAAUACGUGUUAGCCCUCUUUCUCCUUGGGUUAAUCACUUGCUCUUUGCUGAUGACAGUUCGAUAUUUUUAAAGGCACAUGUGGCGAGUGCACUCAGGCUAAAUGAGGUGUUGAGGAUUUAUGGUGACUGCUCGGGACAAUGUGUUAAUCGCGACAAAAGCUCUGAUUACUCCAGUCCGAAUACACCUGGUACCACUCGGCGGGAGCUAAAAUCAGUGUUGGGUAUUUCAGUGGAGGCUUUCAAUGAGCGCUACUUGGGACUCCCAACUGCUACUGGACGUAUCACCAGCGGAACUUUCGAAUACCUUGGUGAGCGAAUUAGAAGCAAACUACAAGGAGGUACCGAACAGCUUAUCUCACGUGCAGGGAGGGAGGUUCACCUUAAGGCUGUUGCGCAUGCAAUCGCAUCCUUUUCGAUGAGAUGUUUCAAGUUCACGAAGAAGAUUUGCAAAGGUUUUUCUUCAAAAAUGGCUCAGUACUGGUGGAGCAGCUCAGUGGAUCGCAGUGAGUUCAUGGCCGUUGCAAUUCCGAAACAUGCGUCAGCCACUUGGAGGGCAAUAGUUGCAGGGAGACAGGCCCUAAAGACCGGCUUGGUUAAAAGGAUUGGAGAUGGCUCGUCCGUAUCCACUUGGCAUGAUAGCUGGAUUCCAAGUCUCCUUCCGAUUCGUCCGUCAGCCCAAAUCAGAAAUGCCAACAUUCCUUAUGUGGCAAACCUGAUUGACGGAGGGGCUGAUUCAUGGGCAUGGGCUGCUGAAAAGUCUGGGAACUACACUGUAAAAUCCGCGUACCACGCUCUGGUGACCCAUACCAAGCAUUCAGCUCUAGGGGAAUGGACGGUGACAGAAACUUCAGAGAAUCGGAAACAGUGCUGGUCUAGACUUUGGAAGCUCAAGGUUGUGCCAAAAAUGUUCUGGAGAGAGGCGAGGGAGUGGCUCAACAUCAAGCUUCCGGAGCUUCAUACAACAACAUGGUCUCAGGAUAUUUUGUGUGAUUCCAGAUAUGAUGAAGCAGACCGCGCAAAAAUUAUUACGGUAAUGUGGGCGAUCUGGACGUCCAGAAACAACAUUACUCAUGACAAACAAAGUUUGGAUCCAGUGAUGUCGGUGAAGAAAACCAGAGAAGCUCUGGAGAUUCUGGAACUUCCUAGGGACCAAGCUAGGAUCUUGCCUGGGCAUGGUUGGCAACCUGCUCAGGAUGACUGCAUUAAGAUUAAUGUUGAUGCAGAGGCUCUUGCUCUCCGUGAAGGUGUGGUCUUCGCAAUGCUUUGUGGCUUUGAGCGAGUACAAAUGGAGACUGACAGUCAAGACGUGGUCGAUCUCUGGAACUCGCGCCGUUCUUCGUGCUCGUUGAUAGCGCCGGUGCUUUUAGAUAUUGAAGGGUUAGCAGAUAGUUUUUCCUCUUUUAGUAUUCAUCAUGUUAAGAGGCAUUCUAGUGUCCCUACCCACCUGUGUACCAAGAAUGCUUGCACACUGAAGGUGACAGAUUGUUGGAUGUACUCUCCUCAUGGGUUUCUCGUGACUAGCCUUAUAGCGGACACGGCAGGAGCCCGUAUGAUUGAAUAA
rnacentral:rRNA from 1 species